CCUACGGGCGGCAGCAGUGAGGAAUAUUGGUCAAUGGACGAGAGUCUGAACCAGCCAAGUAGCGUGAAGGAUGACUGCCCUAUGGGUUGUAAACUUCUUUUAUAUGGGAAUAAAAUGUUCCACGUGUGGGAUUUUGUCUGUACCAUAUGAAUAAGGAUCGGCUAACUCCGUGCCAGCAGCCGCGGUAAUACGGAGGAUCCGAGCGUUAUCCGGAUUUCUUGGGUUUAAAGGGAGCGUAGGUGGAUUGUUAAGUCAGUUGUGAAAGUUUGCGGCUCAACCGUAAAAUUGCAGUUGAAACUGGCAGUCUUGAGGACAGUAGAGGUGGGCGGAAUUCGUGGUGUAGCGGUGAAAUGCUGAGAUAUCACGAAGAACUCCGAUUGCGAAGGCAGUUCACUGGACUGCAACUGACGCUGAGGCACGAAAGCGUGGGUAUCGAACAGGAUUAGAUACCCCGGUAGUC
rnacentral:rRNA from 1 species